rnacentral:rRNA from 1 species
GAUGAACGCUGGCGGCGUGCCUAAUACAUGCAAGUCGAGCGAACAGACGCGGAGCUUGCUCCUCUGACGUUAGCGGCGGACGGGUGAGUAACACGUGGAUAACCUCCCUAUAAGACUGAGAUCACUUCGGGAAUCCGGCGCUAAUACCGGAUAAUAUAUUGAACCGCAUGGUUCAAUGGUGAAAGACGGCUUUGCUGUCACUAAUAGAUGGUUACGCGCCGCAUGAGCUAGUUGGUACGGUAAAGGCCUACUAAGGCGACUAUGCGUAGCCGACCGCAGAGAGUGGUAGGCCACACUGGAACUGAGACACCGUCCAGACGCCUACGAGAGGGAGCAGUAUGGAAUGUGACGCAAUGGGCGGAAGUCUGACGGAGCAACGCCGCGUGAGUGAUGAAGGUCCUCGGAUCGUAAAACUCUGUUAUGGGUUAAGAACAAAUGUGUCAGGAACUGUACACUUCUUGACGGUACCUAAUCAGAAAGCCACGGCUAACUACGUG